UCAGGAUGAACGCUGGCGGCGUGCCUAAUACAUGCAAGUCGAACGAGUUCUCGUUGAUGAUCGGUGCUUGCACCGAGAUUCAACAUGGAACGAGUGGCGGACGGGUGAGUAACACGUGGGUAACCUGCCCUUAAGUGGGGGAUAACAUUUGGAAACAGAUGCUAAUACCGCAUAGAUCCAAGAACCGCAUGGUUCUUGGCUGAAAGAUGGCGUAAGCUAUCGCUUUUGGAUGGACCCGCGGCGUAUUAGCUAGUUGGUGAGGUAAUGGCUCACCAAGGCGAUGAUACGUAGCCGAACUGAGAGGUUGAUCGGCCACAUUGGGACUGAGACACGGCCCAAACUCCUACGGGAGGCAGCAGUAGGGAAUCUUCCACAAUGGACGCAAGUCUGAUGGAGCAACGCCGCGUGAGUGAAGAAGGCUUUCGGGUCGUAAAACUCUGUUGUUGGAGAAGAAUGGUCGGCAGAGUAACUGUUGCCGGCGUGACGGUAUCCAACCAGAAAGCCACGGCUAACUACGUGCCAGCAGCCGCGGUAAUACGUAGGUGGCAAGCGUUAUCCGGAUUUAUUGGGCGUAAAGCGAGCGCAGGCGGUUUUUUAAGUCUGAUGUGAAAGCCCUCGGCUUAACCGAGGAAGCGCAUCGGAAACUGGGAAACUUGAGUGCAGAAGAGGACAGUGGAACUCCAUGUGUAGCGGUGAAAUGCGUAGAUAUAUGGAAGAACACCAGUGGCGAAGGCGGCUGU
rnacentral:rRNA from 1 species